GUCGUCAGCUCGUGUCGUGAGAUGUUGGGUUAAGUCCCGCAACGAGCGCAACCCUUGUCCUUAGUUGCCAGCAUUUAGUUGGGCACUCUAAGGAGACUGCCGGUGACAAACCGGAGGAAGGUGGGGAUGACGUCAAAUCAUCAUGCCCCUUAUGACCUGGGCUACACACGUGCUACAAUGGAUAGAACAAAGGGCAGCGAAGCCGCGAGGUCAAGCAAAUCCCAUAAAUCUAUUCUCAGUUCGGAUUGUAGGCUGCAACUCGCCUACAUGAAGCCGGAAUCGCUAGUAAUCGCGGAUCAGCAUGCCGCGGUGAAUACGUUCCCGGGCCUUGUACACACCGCCCGUCACACCACGAGAGUUUGUAACACCCGAAGUCGGUGGGGUAACCUUUU
rnacentral:rRNA from 1 species